AGGCAGAUUCAAUUAACUUCAAGCUAACAAAGCUCAUUUAAUGUGGCAAAACAUAUUAUUUGGAUGAAAUUACAUUACCACUUCAAAUCUGAACAUGGUAUACAUUGCUAUGGCAACUGUGUUUGUGAGCUUAUGGAUUUCAAGUUGGGACUAAGUUUUCUGGAAGAACAUAGCAAACCCUUUGUGUAUUCCUUGGAUAUACUUGGUACCAAUAAAUCAUUUGCUUUUUUUUUUUUUAAGUGGCACUGGGGAGCUCAGGAUCUCAUACUCACAUGAUUUGCUUGUUUUGCUGGUACUCUACCAUCUUAGCCAUGCCUCCAAACUAGCUUUGACUGGCUAUUUUGGAAAGGAAGUAUUGUAAACUUUUCUACCCAAGCUAGCCUCAAAACCUAGUUCUGUUUCUCAGACCCCUGAGUAGUUAGGAUUACUACAGGUGUGAGCUACUAGCCCACAGUUGUUUAACUUUUAGUUCUUGUCUGGACUACUUGUUGCUAUCACACGAGAAGGGGCCUUAGUUUUUUUUGUCGGUCGUGGGGCUUGAACUUUGGGCCUAGACACUGCCCCUGAACUCUUCAGCUCAAAGCUAGUGCUCUGCCAUUUGAGCCACAGCACCACUUCCAGUUUUCUGGUGAGUAAUUGGAGAUAAGAGUCUCAUGGACUUUCUUUCACCCGGCUGGCUUUAUACCAUGAUCCUCAGAUCUCAGCUAGGAUUACAGGCAUUUGCUGCUGACACCGGGCAAAAUGGCCUUAAUUUUUAACUGUUAUCUAACUAGAAGUAGAAAAUCAAACAAAUUCCUGUAGAGAAUCUGUAAAACAUUUCUAAGCACUCCCAUCUUCCUUCCUUCUCUUCCUGAUGAUCCUUCUGCCGUUGUUCAGAUCUUACCACCUGUUCUACAUGAGCUGCUCUUUAUGAAGGAGUUGCUUCUUCACAAUAGGACACAUUAAAAAAAUCAGUGUCACUUUAGCAAGCAUUUAAACUUACUUUGAUUUUGGCACAUUGGGCAUUGCAGGGCCCCUGCUCAUCCAUACCAGGCUUUUAUGAUAAUGAGGAAUUGUUAUCCCUCCUAGCAGAUACUCCCAGUCCAGUGCUAACAGGAAGCCAUAUGACCAAAUGGGACUUCAGCCCACAUGUGCCACUUAGCUCAGGGUCUUCAUCUACACACUGAGUAUGGCUCACAAAGUUGUCUUACAAAGUUGAUUUUAAAAAAUUCUCAUUUCAUUUCUUAUUUUUACU